GAUGAACGCUAGCGGCAGGCUUAAUACAUGCAAGUCGAGGGACAGCACAGGUAGCAAUACUGGGUGGUAACCGGCAAACGGGUGCGGAACACGUACACAACCUUCCUUUAAGUGGGGGAUAGCCCAGAGAAAUUUGGAUUAAUACCCCGUAAUAUAGUUGAAUGGCAUCAUUUGAUUAUUAUAGCUACGGCGCUUAAUGAUGGGGUGGCGGCUGAUUAGAUAGUUGGCGGGGUAACGGCCCACCAAGUCUACGAUCAGUAGCUGAUGUGAGAGCAUGAUCAGCCACACGGGCACUGAGACACGGGCCCGACUCCUACGGGAGGCAGCAGUAAGGAAUAUUGGUCAAUGGACGCAAGUCUGAACCAGCCAUGCCGCGUGAAGGAUUAAGGUCCUCUGGAUUGUAAACUUCUUUUAUUUGGGACGAAAAAGGGCCUUUCUAGGUCAACUGACGGUACCAGAUGAAUAAGCACCGGCUAACUCCGUGCCAGCCGCCGCAGUAACAC
rnacentral:rRNA from 1 species